rnacentral:lncRNA from 1 species
AAUAAAUAACUUUUUCUACAUCUUUUUAAUUCCUCACAGUAAAUGUGAAAAAGAUUUCGUCUGACACAUGUAAAACCUUUUGCUUUUCAGCCUGCAUUAUGCAAAUAACCAUGCUUAAUGUACAGCACUUUGUACACCAGGCAUGAAGCCUCCUCACAUGAGGAGGGCCAUGUUGAUCGUGGGUUGUAAGUGUACUGCACUUCUUUAGUUUCCAAUCUAGAAGAGGAAUAAAUGCAACCCCUUUCUCUUUAAGCCCAACACAAUCACAUAGAACCGAAUCGGAAGAAACCAAAAUGCCUAGUGUGGAGUUCCUAAUCUACAGAUAAUUACACACUCGUUAUACCCAAGUUCUAGCUCUAGGCCACGAAUCAUUUGAAGGAAAUUACCUCUCUUCGUUAGCAUCAAGGAUUUUUCCCAAUUCUUUAGGUAUUUCGUUAUGUUUUUUCGUUUUCGCUUCUAGGUUUUCAUUUCGUUCAUUUUCCUUUCUGGGUUUUCAUUUUGUUCGCUCCUAUAUGAGUAUUCAUGUCCUGGAGGAGCGGUUACUCAAAAGGGACACUGGUUAAAUACUUGUGUCUUUAUUUUUUGGUUGCAGGAUUAACAAAAUCGAAUUUAUAUUUUAUAAGUUCUGAGUGUUAAAUUGGAAUCUCUCUAUUGAAUGAGAUCUGGAUUUUGUCCCAAACAGAAAUUUGUACACACACACACACACAUAUAUUUGCACAUAUUGUCUAUGCUUAUACACAUUAUAUAGGUACUGGGUUUUCUAUUUAGCAUUCGAUACUGCGUUUUUGUGGUUUUGUUAUAAUUAUGCAGUCCUUUGUUAUUAUUUUGAGUUGUUUUUCUUACAUUUGUUGUGAACAUUUGAUUUUUAAGUUUGAUAUGAUUAGGAUUUGCGUUUUUAUUAGUUCCACCUUUAUAUUUGUUCUUCACUUGGAACAGUUGAGACAUAUCCAUUUUGCAUUGUCAAGUUUGUGUAAUGAUUGUCUUGUUAUGAGUAUGUUAAAAUUGAGUUUCCACAGAACAAAUAAAUUUGUAAUUACUUGCACAAAAUUUAAUGAAAAGUCAUCCUAUCAUUGGGAUAAUCUAUUCUAAUUUUACACUUGUGUUAGAAUCACAUGAAUAAUUGUAUAUUCUUGUAGUGAAGCUUCAUGAAAUUGUAGCUAGCUAUCAUUUCCAUCCCAAUGCUUGUGUACUUUCACAUCAAGGAUGAAAAGAAUGCUUCAAGUGGUGAAAAUAUAGUAUUUUACUGCAAUUCACUAGCUUUCUCUCCAAGUUGAUACAUUAAUGAGCGAGACAAUUGUGUUAGGGUCUAAUAGUUGUGGGAUUCAAUCACCCUCAAGCCUGGGCUUUUGGGAGAGAUGAUUGGGUUCCCAUCAACUGGUAUCAGAGAAGACCCACAUCACAAGUUCGAAUCCCAAAAGGGGUGACCCAAGCAAAGUGCUAAAUACCAGUAGCUAAAGAAGGGCGGGUAAAGCCAAGGUCGUCUUGGAGUGGGCUGUCGUGGACUCGGAUUUGGGGCCGUGGGGUAUUGUUAGGGUCUAAUAGUUGUGGGAUUCAAUCACCCUAAAGCUUGGGCUUUUGGAAGAGAUGGUUGGGUUCCCAUCAAAUUGCAUUUAGCUUCGAUUCAGUAGUCUCAUAAUAGAGAUCUCUAUUACUAAUCAAAUACACCCAAAAGGUUUAGGAAAAGAAGUAAACAAGAGUUUAGUUAAAUUUAUAAUUCCAUAACCUUUUUUUUAAACUAUUAGAAUAUGCAUAAAAUUCAUUGGCUUCUUAACUAUAAUAUAUUGUAAUGGCAUUUGAGAUUGGGUUUCUCUCUCAAUUGGAUUAUUACAAAAACUAUAUUUUGUUAGCUUUUUGAAUUAUCAAUUUUGUAUGUAUAAAAAUUGAUGCAUAGCUAAUCAUGAAAAUAAUUUGUCUGCAUUGGUGACUAAGUUUUCUAUCAAUUGGAUAAUUAUAGUGUUGGAUGAUGGGAAUGAAACAAAGGAAAACAGUUUCAUCUAUAUAAGUUUUUAGCACUGUUUAUUUUGCUAUUAGGGAUAAGUUAUCUUCUUUAAAUAAUGUGAAUUUUACCUUCUAUCAGAUAAAUUUUAUUUGAACUACUUUUUUUUAUGUGCGUCAAAUAAUAUAUUAUGAUAUUUAACAAAUUCUGAUAUUAGCUUUGAUUUUGUCGGACAUAUAAAAAAAAAAAAAAAAAGUUGAGAGAAUUGUUUGAUUGCACUGGUAAUGAAUGGAACUUGAAGCAUCCUUGGUUAAGCUUAAAUGUAAUACGUUGCCAAUAAAAUUUCUUUUUUCUAUUUGNN